CCAACCGAAUGUUUCCAGAAUCUGAGGAUCCAAACCAGACGUUGUUUGUUAAAUAUAUCAAACAUUUUACAAAUAAGAAGAUGAGUCAGCAUCAUUUACUGAGGUGCUACUAUAAAAAGCGUUCUUUGACCUGAGCAGAGCGCCCCCUGGAGGCCUGAUGGAGGCCCACAUCCCAGCUCCCUACAGACCACCUCUGCAUCCUGCUGGUCAAAGUCAUCUUCAUUCACUGAGGACCACGAGCCGUUCAGCAUCACCUCCAGCCUGCCUGAGCACAGAUGGUUCACCAGCCUGAUGGAGUCUG